rnacentral:rRNA from 1 species
ACUCAAAUGAAUUGACGGGGGCCCGCACAAGCGGUGGAGCAUGUGGUUUAAUUCGAUGCAACGCGAAGAACCUUACCUGGGUUGGAAGAUGCCGGACAGGAGUAGAGAUAUUCCCUUCUAGCAAUAGACCGGUAGUUAGGUGCUGCAUGGCUGUCGUCAGCUCGUAUCGUGAGAUGUCGGGUUAAGUCCCUUAACGAGCGCAACCCCUAUCCCUAGUUGCCAUCAUUCAGUUGGGCACUCUAUGGAGACCGCCGGCGUUAAGCCGGAGGAAGGCGGGGAUGACGUCAAGUCCUCAUGGCCCUUAUGUCCAGGGCUACACACGUGCUACAAUGGCUGGUACAAAGCGUUGCCAACCUGUAAAGGGGAGCUAAUCGCAGAAAGCCAGUCUCAGUUCGGAUUGAAGUCUGCAAUUCGACUUCAUGAAGCUGGAAUCGCUAGUAAUCGCGGAUCAGAACGCCGCGGUGAAUACGUUCCCGGGCCUUGCACACACCGCCCGU